AGUCCCUGGGCUGGGCAUCCCAGACGUUUUCUAAUCCAGAUUUAAUUCUUAUCCAUUUAUUUAUAUUUUCGUGAUAUGUGCUAUUUACAAAAUAUGAUACUGUUAUAGGUUUAUUAAAUUUUUAAUUGGUUAGAGUUUACUGUUUAGGUGCGCAACGAGAAGAUUGCCCUAAUGCCCUACUCCAGCAAUGUCUUUGAUAUGAGGCUCAGAGGUGGCAGCACUUGCACGAGCAGACUGAUGUUUACAAAACAAGUCACACCAACUCGGCAUCGUCUGCAGCAAAAAAAAAAAAACUACUAAACUCUUUUGGCCAAUUGUCAUCCACUAAAGGUUUUCACUAGGUUUUUAUUCCUUUGCUGUUCUGCCUUAUGGAUCCUAAUCAGCUUCAAUCUUUUUGGCUUCCAAUAAUAUUUGAAGCUGGAGCACAAAUGGAAGAAAUUGACAAACAACAGCAAUGGCAGAUUGUAGCUGCCAUGUUUGGAUGCAGUUCUCAUCUUGAAUUGAACCUAAAAUGAUUGCAUCACCUCCCUGGUCCAAUCCAUCUCUGCUCCCGCUGCAUUGACCGAUGUCUAAAACCGAAUAUGUGGAGCGCUGCAUGAAGCAAACUUAAUUUAUUCACAACACUAUAAUGAUGCUUUUUUUGCUGCUGAAUGAUGAUUUUUUAAUUAUUAAAAUUUCUUUAACAUGACUGCAGACUGCACAAAAACUGAGUGAUCAUCACUUAUUCUUUUAUUCCCUUAUUCAUUUACAUUGCGUGUCAAACAUUUUUAUACAGUGUCUUGGAAAUUUGCAACUUGCAUCAGUCCUACGUUAAAAUUUACCUACUAGGAUUGUGACCCGGCUAUAUGUGCGUAGACCUGAUUCAGCUGACGGCUUUGGGGAUUUUUGUGAUACCAAAAUUUAUGUAGCUAGCAAAUUUCGAAAAAAAUAAAUAAAUUGUGUUGGCAUCUCCGUUGAAUAUCUGACCACAUUCAAUGAUGAGCUAAAGCUUCAUCGGGCACGGCAUGGGAGGAAAUAAGGUUCUUUGAACGAGUUGCAGUCUUUUUCUUAACCUGGAAUUGAUCCCCUGGUUAAAGUAGUUUGUAACAUCAUACGGAUGGCAGCUCUUAAAUGUACCAGAAGGAAAAGUGCCCACUCUCUUCUACUGAGGAGUUUUUCGGGGUGUACACGAAUUACUUGUUAGAUCCAAGUUGGUAUUUCGCCUGAAGGAGGGGUAAGCUUACUAUGCAGUUGUCUGUGCUUUCUGGCGACGCAUCAGAGAUGUUCGACAGUUCGAGUAUUCCGCUUCAUUUGUCGGUUAAGUAAUAUUUGCGUAUUUAACAUUUGUACGUUAUCCAAUAGUGUUUUACGUACAUCAUCAGGGUACUAUCA